UUUCUCAAGAAGUGGAGCUCGUGACUCUCUGUCGCCCAACCCGUGAGCCCUCCUGUCAGAUCGCCUGUGAACCCUCGGUCUUGUCAGGGUUGGUGAAAUACUGCUUGGAGAGAUUUUAUUUUCCCUGCAAGGUUUUGCUUUGAAGACCAUUGCAUCCUCAAGGAUUCUUCUUCAUCCUCCUGAUCACUUAACCCUCUUCGUUGGGAUUCUUGGUACCAGCAGCAGCUGGGAGAGGGUGUUCCUGGUUUUGGGUUCUUCAUCAAGAUUUCAGAUUCUUGCAUGAAUGUAUGCUGUCAUUAGAAGCCUGAAGAGUCAUCUUUGAACUCCUGUGUCCAAAUCGUAGGACACCUUUGUUGUGGAGAAGAUCAAGUCUAGGACCGGAGGGUGUCUGGGAGUCGUAUUUUCUGCAUUUUGAUAGUAUCUUUGUAGUGCAUUUUUCUGUGUGAGUAAGACUUGUAUUCUGACUGUAUUUGUGAUCCGCAAAUUAUCUGCUUGACUCUGUAUUCUGUAGGGCUAUUACAACCCAUACUUGUAUUCUUUCAGUCCUUGUUAUCCUAUU